rnacentral:rRNA from 1 species
CACGUAGGCGGAUAUUUAAGUCAGGGGUGAAAUCCCAGAGCUCAACUCUGGAACUGCCUUUGAUACUGGGUAUCUUGAGUAUGGAAGAGGUAAGUGGAAUUCCGAGUGUAGAGGUGAAAUUCGUAGAUAUUCGGAGGAACACCAGUGGCGAAGGCGGCUUACUGGUCCAUUACUGACGCUGAGGUGCGAAAGCGUGGGGAGCAAACA